rnacentral:tRNA from 1 species
UCCAAAAUGACAGAGCGGUAAUGUACACGGCUGUUAACCGUAGAUCUAUGAAAGUAGCAGAGGUUCGAUCCCUCUUUUUGGAGCCA